rnacentral:tRNA from 1 species
AAGGUGGCUCAGUGGUAGAGUGCUUGUCUUGCAUGCAUGAGGUCCUGGGUUCAAUUCUCCAGCCUU